UCAAAUUUUUGAAAUAAAGGCUUAAUUGAGUUGAGUAAACUCUAAAUCAGAGUAUCACACUUGCACAUCUUUUUAUAGGAAGUUGAGCUACGAUAGGUUGGUCUGUUCUUUGGUAUCUGAAACCUCAAUUUGUAGCCACAUUCUGCAACCAGAAUUAUUGAUGCACUUUCAAAGAAGCUAUAUUAAUCUUUUUUAAUUAAAUCAUGCCUCAUUAUUGAUUGUCUUUUACAUUAGUAUCAAUAUCAUACCCUUUAUAUAGAUAUCAAAUAUUGAAAUUAUUCAGUGCAUUUUCUGUAAUUGCAGGUUCCUGGCAUCCUA
rnacentral:misc_RNA from 1 species